CAGCAGCCACGGGAAUACGGAGGGGGCUAGCGUUGUUCGGAAUUACUGGGCGUAAAGCGCACGUAGGCGGCUUGGUAAGUUAGAGGUGAAAGCCCGGAGCUCAACUCCGGAAUUGCCUUUAAGACUGCCGAGCUAGCAGGUGAGAGAGGUAAGUGGAAUUCCGAGUGUAGAGGUGAAAUUCGUAGAUAUUCGGAAGAACACCAGUGGCGAAGGCGGCUUACUGGCUCAUACUGGACGCUGAGGUGCGAAAGCGUGGGGAGCAAACAGGAUUAGAUACCCCGGUAGUCCCUGUCUCUUAUAC
rnacentral:rRNA from 1 species